UGUUGACUUUAGCAAUCUUUGUUGCAUUAUAUACCAAUGGUGGCCAUUCAAAAAUGGGAAAGAGCACUUUUGAAGUUUUUUCUCCAAAU